GAUGAACGCUAGCUACAGGCUUAACACAUGCAAGUCGAGGGGAAACGAUAGAGAAAGCUUGCUUUUUCUAGGCGUCGACCGGCGCACGGGUGAGUAACGCGUAUCCAACCUGCCCAUCACUUGGGGAUAACCUUGCGAAAGUAAGACUAAUACCCAAUGACGUCCAUAGAAGACAUCUGAAAGGGAUUAAAGAUUUAUCGGUGAUGGAUGGGGAUGCGUCUGAUUAGCUUGUUGGCGGGGUAACGGCCAACCAAGGCGACGAUCAGUAGGGGUUCUGAGAGGAAGGUCCCCCACAUUGGAACUGAGACACGGUCCAAACUCCUACGGGAGGCAGCAGUGAGGAAUAUUGGUCAAUGGGCGAGAGCCUGAACCAGCCAAGUAGCGUGCAGGAUGACGGCCCUAUGGGUUGUAAACUGCUUUUAUAAGGGAAUAAAGUGAGCCUCGUGAGGCUUUUUGCAUGUACCUUAUGAAUAAGGACCGGCUAAUUCCGUGCCAGCAGCCGCGGUAA
rnacentral:rRNA from 1 species